CCUACGGGAGGCUGCAGUAGGGAAUAUUGCUCAAUGGGGGAAACCCUGAAGCAGCAACGCCGCGUGGAGGAUGAAGGUUUUAGGAUUGUAAACUCCUUUUGUGAGAGAAGAUCAUGACGGUAUCUCACGAAUAAACACCGGCUAACUCCGUGCCAGCAGCCGCGGUAAUACGUAGGGUGCAAACGUUACUCUGAAUCACUGGUCGUAAAGGGUGCCCAGGCGGGUUUGUAAGUCAGGAGUGAAAUCCUGUAGCUUAACUAAAGAACUGCAUUUGAAACUAUGAGACUAGUGUGUAGGAGAGGUAGGUGGAAUUCUAGGUGUAGGGGUAAAAUCCGUAGAUAUAAAGAGGAAUACUCAUUGCGAAGGCGACCUACUGGAACAUUACUGACGCUCAUGCACGAAAGCGUGGGGAGCAAACAGGAUUAGAUACCCGUGUAGUC
rnacentral:rRNA from 1 species